rnacentral:rRNA from 1 species
UACGUAGGGGGCAAGCGUUGUCCGGAUUUAUUGGGCGUAAAGGGUGUGUAGGUGGCGCCGUAAGUCGGGUGUGAAAUUUCGAGGCUUAACCUCGAAACUGCAUUCGAUACUGCGGUGCUUGAGGACUGGAGAGGAGACUGGAAUUCAUGGUGUAGCAGUGAAAUGCGUAGAGAUCAUGAGGAAGACCAGUGGCGAAGGCGGGUCUCUGGACAGUUCCUGACACUGAGACACGAAGGCCAGGGGAGCAAACGGG